rnacentral:lncRNA from 1 species
AACAGUGUCAAAACGGUAGGUUAAACAAACACUUAAAGUUAGUAUUAUACUUCCAUUAAGUAUAAAAUAAGAUUUUGUGGUAUCCACUAGUGUAAAUAUUUUAAAUUGAAGAUCGAUUUCGUUCAAUGCAUUGUUAUAGGGUCGAGGAGUGUAGCUAUAAAAAAUCAUCAAAAUCAGAGCUAACAUAACCGUUACAUUGUAAUAUUUUGUUUAUAACUGUAAAAAACUUUUAUUCUGUUACCUAAUCUUUGAUUGUUUGUUUUUUGUGAUUUUUUACGUAUGCGAUCUCGGAGUGUGUACAACAAGUUUGACGGUUAGAUCAUUGAAAAAAGUUUCGUAGAAUGUGUAUCGCGUCAAAACAGUAGAUUAAAUAAACACUUAAGAGUUAAUGCUAUACUUCCAUUAAGUAUAAAAUAAGAUUUUGUGGAAUCCACUAGUGUAAAUAUUUUAAAUUGAAGAUCAAAUGUAUUCAUUGCAUUCUUAUAGAGUCGAGGUGUGUAGCUGUAAAAAAUCAUUAAACUUGGAGCUAAAAUAACCGUUAAAUUGUGAUUUUUCGUUUAUAACCGUCGAAAACUUUUGUUUUGUUACGUAAAUCUCUGAAUGUUUGUUUUUUACGAUUUUUUACAUAUGCGAUCUUAUAGUAUCUACAAACAAGUUUGACGGUUAGAUCAUGGAAACUAGUUUCGUAGAAUGCAUAUCUCCGUUCUCCGUUAAAUUUGCCUAAAUUUUGAAGUGGGAAAAGUAAUUUGUGCUAAAUUUUUAUUUAUGUUUUCAAGUAUUGAUUAGACAAUAUUUAGUUUGUGUGAUGACAUUUCCAUUGUACAAUUAUAUUUUUGUUUCUUUAUCGCAUAUUUUACAUGGGUUAUUUAUCUAUUAAACCAAACAAUUAUUUAUUUAAUUUUUUAAAACGUAUUUAAUUUAAAUACAUAUUAUUUAUUUAUUUAUUAAACCAAACAAUUAUUAUUUUAUUUUUUAAAAUCGUAACAAAAUUUUGGGGGGGGGGGGAUUUAAAACUUUGGGGUGGGGUAUUUAAAAUUUUGGGAGGGAAUUUAAAAUUUUGGGGGGAUUUGUUGCCGCCAUUUUGUUUCUGUCGGUUAUAACUAACAGUAAUGAAAAUGUUUUUGUCGGUUUUUUAUUAAGAAAAACCCCUCCAUCUGGUGCCUUCUCCCUUUCCCCUUCCUUCCCCUUUUCUCCUCUCCUCAUUUCCUUCUCUUUCUCUUCUCCCCUACUCCUUCCCGCAUACAAAGGAAGCUUCUGUAUGAGGCCAAAUACAGAAACAGGAAGAAAGGCAGCAACAUAAAGGAGAGACCUUGUCAAUUCCUCAUCGAGAUGAAUCAAGAGCAUAACUGUAGCAGAUAUGCAUAUCGUAAACCCUAAUUUCUUGAAGCUUCUUGCACCUGAAACCCUAAUUUCUUCUGCAAUCUUCAAUAACACUGUCAAUAAUCUUGUUUCUGCAUCAUCCCAAGUUCAAAAGCUUAUACUAUCUGGCGGUUUUGAGGUUCACACAUAUACGUAUAUAUGCAUGCUUUCUAUAUGUUAGAUUCUUGCAUAAUUUUGCUGAAGAAUGCAUGACAGAAAGGUCGACCGUCACCCAAGUCCCACAUUGGAGAAAUACUUUCAAUUUCCUAUCUUUGGUUGUUCUUGUAGUACCAAUGUGUGUGUUUGUUCAUACCAGAGUCAGUUUCUUGUCUAUAAUCACAUACGGAUAUUAUAUUAUUGCACAUCAGAAAUUUCCUUGCAUGUAAUAUGUGGAUUAUUUGUUUUGUUUGCAGGUCUUAUCAAAUAUAUAUUUUGGAGGUGGUUUACGAUAUUCAUUUAUAAAUCUUCAGACCUUGCAUAUCUAACUGUAGCAGUGAACGAGAGCAAUUUUGUGAUGUUUCUUCCAAAUUGUUAAGAUGAAUCAUUUGGGUUUUGUUCUAAUCUUACAAAUUUGUUGAGCAAUUUUUGUAAAGUCGGAAUUUUUGGUUUCAGUUGUAAGGUAUCUGAUUUGGGUAUUUGUGUUUUGCAGGACACAGUGGUUGUUGUGAUAGGUUGUUGUGAUACAGACUAACUCUCUCUCUAAACUCAGCGACUACGACUUUCUCUCUCUAAAGACCGCCAUAGCCAUUGGUUUAAGGAUCUCCCUAUGCUUGCAAACCGGCCGGCAGUUCAGUUUCACUGUAAGUUUCUUCUUCUUCUUCAUUAGUUCUGCUUUUUUGCUUUUGCUUUUUGAUUUUUCGGUUUGAAUCGCGCACAUUUUGAAUUCGAUCGUUCAUUUUCGAUGCUUUUCUGAUUCAAAUCUGCAUAUCUAGAUGAAUUCGGAAUUGCAUUGCUCGAAUUUUGUUUGUGCGAUCAAUCGUUGACUCGAAGAUUGGAAAUUCAAAUUAUGCACUAAUCUCGAACGAUUGUAUGUGUGUGUACACCAGUACUGAUGAGUGAAGGUUUUUUGAGGGGUUCUUGUGAUGCAAAAAGUGGUUUAUAUUUUUUUAUUAAUAAUAUACUUUCUGUAGGUUUUAUCCGACAUAAAUGCUCAUAUUUAUUUUUAUUAAAUUAUCUGUCAGUUGAAUCUGACAGAAGUCCUGUCGGUUUUAGCCGACAGAAAUGCUCUUAUUCAUUGAUUAUUAAUCUAUUAUCUGUCGGUUAUAUCCGACACAGUUUCUGUCAAUUUUAGAGUAUUUUCUGUCAGAAAAUUCAUUUCCUGACGCGGGCAAUUCUGUCGCUUAUUAUAUCUACCACUGCAUCCAUUUUCUGUUGUAUUUUGCUUAAAAUCCAACAGGAAUAUAGGUUUCUUGUCGAUUUUUAAACCGACACUAAUGGGGACUUUUGUAGGAGUGUGAUGCAUGAACCCCAUAUGUUUAUAUUUUCCUUCCAAUUUAUAUUGUAUAUGUUUCAUAUAUUUGUAAAUAUAUAUAUGUUUCAUGCAUUAGGCAUUUAUAUUGCUAUGUGGAAUUUGUGAGUCAAAGCAUAUAAAUAAAUUAGAAGCAAUUUAGGAUUUUUAAACCCUAGAAAAGUCGAAAAAAAAAUACACACACACACACACACACAUAUAUAUAUAUAUAUAUUAGGAACUGUGCGGCACAACCGUCGCACCACCUUGGCACCAACGCCGAACCACUGCUGGCCUAAAGCUCAGCCGCAUGGAGCACAUCAUGGCAUAGUGUUGUUUUGACACCUUCAAACCACACAGUAGCAGCCUUUGGGCUUUGCUGCGCUGACCCAAACACCUCAGGCA